rnacentral:rRNA from 1 species
UACGUAGGGGGCAAGCGUUGUCCGGAUUUAUUGGGCGUAAAGAGCGUGUAGGCGGCCAUACAGGUCAGCUGUGAAAACUCGAGGCUCAACCUCGAGACGUCGGUUGAAACCGUAUGGCUAGAGUCCGGAAGAGGAGAGUGGAAUUCCCGGUGUAGCGGUGAAAUGCGCAGAUAUCAGGAGGAACACCAAUAGCGAAGGCAGCUCGCUGGGACGUUACUGACACUGAGGCGCGAAAGCGUGGGGAGCGAACAGG